UACAGAGGUCUCAAGCGUUGUUCGGAUUCAUUGGGCGUAAAGGGUGUGUAGGUGGCGCCGUAAGUCGGGUGUGAAAUUUCGGAGCUUAACUCCGAAACUGCAUUCGAUACUGCGGUGCUUGAGGACUGGAGAGGAGACUGGAAUUCAUGGUGUAGCAGUGAAAUGCGUAGAUAUCAUGAGGAAUACCAGAGGCGAAGGCGGCUACCUGGACAAUUGCUGACGCUCAGGCACGAAAGCGUGGGGAGCAAAAGGG
rnacentral:rRNA from 1 species